UUAGUUUAAAUGUAUUUUAUUUAUUAUAAUAAGUGUGGGCUUCAACCUAGUUAGUGUAUAGGUUGUUAUUUGUAUAUGUAUAUAUAGGUUCAGGGAUUAUGUUUCUCGCUUGACUGACUGUGUUAGUAUUGUUCAGUUCAAUAAUAGUUGUUUUUUGUCCAGUGUAAUUUUCAACAUCAAGGUUUAAUAGAGAUGAAUCUCAAUCACUCUACCCAAUGUGGCUUUCCUGCAUUGCUGCACUCUUCAUCUCGGAAUGGACAAUGAAAUGCUCUCCGUUGAUGUUCUAUUCUAGGUUGCCAUUUGUCUGCUAAUAAUUUCUAGUCUGAUUCUUGCCAUGGCAGUUCAAUUCCAGUACCAGUUUCGCCCGCUGUUCAAGUCGAAUUCGCUGCCUGUUUCUCAUUCGUGUCCUGCAAGUGCACUUCAAAUGUAAUCUAACCAACAAUGCUGCUAGAUUUUACAAAUGGUAUACUAAGGUCUAUUUAUUCAUUGUUUUGGGGAAAAAACAAGAACAAUCAAAACAACUGUGACUGCCAUUCUCAAGCGUGCAAUGCCCAUUGUUAUAAAGAUGUGCCCUACUUUCUUAUUUAUAAGGUUGUUUCUAUACUAUUUUUUUCAUUUCUAAUUUUAGUUGUGUUAAAAGAUUCACUGGCACUACCAGCAAAUGGCAAUAAAUAUGUUUCUUUUGGGUACAAAUCUGUGGUGGGUGAUGCGAUAAACCAUGAAAGUCGCAAGUAUUGUUUAGGUUUUCUCUUUUCACCAGAGUGAUGUUGAGAAAGAUUUGAGUGCAGAAGUUGCUGCAACAGCGAGCAAGCAACAUUUUUCAGUAACAUUUGGAGUGCAAAAGGAUUAUAUUGCAAGUCAAAACAUAAACCCUGGAGGGCAAAGUUCAGAUUUAAAGUUUGUAUCGUGCAAUUUACCUGGGAGAAGAACUUUAUAUCUCCUUGGAUGUGAUUUAUCUCUAAACAUGUAUUAUGUUGCUGUUGCAAAACUAUAACUUUAUUUGAAGCAGAAAACUUUUUGAACAAAUGGUUUUUGUUUAGGUUUUAGAUAUGGUGAUGUAUGAUGACUACUCUUCUGGUUCUAUUUAUAAGUCACUUCCAACA